GACGAACGCUGGCGGCGUGCCUAAUACAUGCAAGUAGAACGCUGAAGGAGGAGCUUGCUUCUCUGGAUGAGUUGCGAACGGGUGAGUAACGCGUAGGUAACCUGCCUGGUAGCGGGGGAUAACUAUUGGAAACGAUAGCUAAUACCGCAUAAUAGCAGUUAUUGCAUGAUAACUGUUUGAAAGGUGCAAUUGCACCACUACCAGAUGGACCUGCGUUGUAUUAGCUAGUUGGUGGGGUAACGGCUCACCAAGGCGACGAUACAUAGCCGACCUGAGAGGGUGAUCGGCCACACUGGGACUGAGACACGGCCCAGACUCCUACGGGAGGCAGCAGUAGGGAAUCUUCGGCAAUGGACGGAAGUCUGACCGAGCAACGCCGCGCGAGUGAAGAAGGUUUUCGGAUCGUAAAGCUCUGUUGUAAGAGAAGAACGAGUGUGAGAGUGGAAAGUUCACACUGUGACGGUAUCUUACCAGAAAGGGACGGCUAACUACGUG
rnacentral:rRNA from 1 species